ACAGUACUCCGAUAGCAGCCCAACUCUGGUGAUUCCCUUCCUAGCUCCGGUCAUUAAUGUCAGCCCUAAUUUUGCUUUAAAUCUUGCUCUGAUUCUAGAUCAUAUCUUCAAAACAAGCUCUGCUUGUAGUAGUGCCUCCUUCUACAAUAACUAAUGUCAAGACCAGAAAACCCAGAAGGAAUAGGCGAUGAAGUGACUAAAUCAGGAAAAUUUGGAUCGUCAGAGCAACUCUGCCAUCGCUAUCACAGUCCAUUUUUCUCCUCCUCCUCCUCUAGAUCUACGGUUUUUUUAAAGGAAGAUGAUCAGGAUGAGGAUGAAAAGAAGAAGAAGAAAAAUAAAAAGAAG